GACGAACGCUGGCGGCGUGCUUAACACAUGCAAGUCGAACGGUGAAGCGCCUUCCUUUUUGGUGGGUGUGGAUGAGUGGCGAACGGGUGAGUAACACGUGAGUAACCUGCCCCCUUCUUCUGGAUAACCGCAUGAAAGUGUUGCUAAUACGGGAUAUUCUGGGUCUGUCGCAUGAUGGGUCUGGGAAAGAUAUUGUUUCGCUGGGGGAUGGGUUCGCGCCCUAUCAGCUUGUUGGUGGGGUGAUGGCCUACCAAGGCGGUGACGGGUAGCCGGCCUGAGAGGGUGGACGGUCACAGUGGGGCGGCGCGGCGGCGCAGACUCCGAGGGGAGGCAGCAGUGGGGAAUAUGGCACAAUGGGCGCAAGCCUGAUGCAGCGACGCCGCGUGAGUGAUGGAGUCCGUCGGGUUGUGAACCUCUUUCGCCAGUGAAGCAGGGCUGCCUCGUUUGUGGGUGGGUUGACGGUAGCUGGACAAGAAGCGCCGGCUAACUACGUG
rnacentral:rRNA from 1 species